AUACGUAGGUGGCGAGCGUUGUCCGGAAUUAUUGGGCGUAAAGAGCAUGUAGGCGGCUUAAUAAGUCGAGCGUGAAAAUGCGGGGCUCAACCCCGUAUGGCGCUGGAAACUGUUAGGCUUGAGUGCAGGAGAGGAACGGGGAAUUCCCAGUGUAGCGGUGAAAUGCGUAGAUAUUGGGAGGAACACCAGUGGCGAAGGCGCCUUUCUGGACUGUGUCUGACGCUGAGAUGCGAAAGCCAGGGUAGCGAACGGGAUUAGAUACCCCGGUAGUCCUGGCCGUAAACGAUGGGUACUAGGUGUAGGAGGUAUCGACCCCUUCUGUGCCGGAGUUAACGCAAUAAGUACCCCGCCUGGGGAGUACGGCCGCAAGGUUGAAACUUAAAGGAAUUGACGGGG
rnacentral:rRNA from 1 species